CCACAGCCAGGGUGGGCCUUCGGGCAGGGCCUGGACGCGGUAUAGCCGGAAGUCACGCGUUACGGUAGAACACCGGCAGUC
rnacentral:ncRNA from 1 species